CAGCAGCCGCGGUAAUACGGAGGGUGCAAGCGUUAAUCUGAAUUACUGGGCGUAAAGCGCACGCAGGCGGUCUGACAAGUCAGAUGUGAAAUCCCCGGGCUUAACCUGGGAACUGCAUUUGAAACUGUCAGGCUGGAGUCUUGUAGAGGGGGGUGGAAUUCCAGGUGUAGCGGUGAAAUGCGUAGAGAUCUGGAGGAAUACCGGCGGCGAAGGCGGCCCCCUGGACAAAGACUGACGCUCAGGUGCGAAAGCGUGGGGAGCAAACAGGAUUAGAUACCCCUUUAGUCCCUGUCUCUUAUAC
rnacentral:rRNA from 1 species